ensembl:lncRNA
UUCAACAGCGGGCAGCUAAUAAGUGAGUGACGCACCUUGUGACUGCGCUACGCUCACACUUCAGGUGAAAUGACUCAUGUGUCAGCUUCAGUUAGCUUUCUUUGGGCACAUUGUAGUGGUAAAGUAUUCAAAUUAUUUAAUUUUUCCAUGCAACUAAACUUUCCUGUCCUUUAACUGAUGUGCAAAAUUAUUGAACCUGGGAAAGUAGAGUAUACUUCAUGUGUAAUAGAAAAUGAAAACAAUGCACAAGUCUGACCUAACCUCGCUGAAUUGAAAGCCAUAAUUCAAUACCCUGCUAAUGCUAUGUUUCUUCUCGUUUGUUUCCUGUGCUAGUGCAUUUAUCCACUGGAAUAUAAAAGCAUAUCAAUGCACAGUUGGAGAUCUGCUGCUUUGGGUUUUGCUUGUGGACAGAUGUAAGUAUCCAGGUGUCCUGUUCUAGCACAGACGUCCCAUUUGACUCCCCAAUAGAGCACUUAGACUCGAAAAGCCUUGAUUCAUCUUGAUAACUCCUGACAUGCUCGGCGUCUGCAGACCUUUCUGCUUUUACAACAAAAUGCAGAUCCUCCACUUGCAAUGUCACCAGUGAUAGAUGAACAGGUAAAAAUGGUAUUAUUGGCAGACCAACGAUGACAGUGGUAUAUUUAAAAACAUCUCUGGAGAAAUAUAAAAGUACACUUGCUCCCAAGGACGUCUCAGAGCAGGGAAGAGGGAGGGAGGGUAAGAACUGAGCAGAGAGGAUAGAAAUUGUGGGCAAGCCGUACGUGGAAGACAGAGAGGCUGUAAAUUUAACCGAAGUGAAGCAUAUUGGGCAGCGCCGUAGUCAGCCAUCAUUCCAGAGAUUGCAUCCUUCUCUCUUCUCAUUGCGGCAAAGCACACAGUUCAUUGCCAUCUGCACGAAUCUCUCACAUUGCCACUUUGCAGGAGAUUGGGUGAGCUCAUAAACAACCGGGCGCCAUGAUAUCUCAAGGGUAGAUGACGGGAAUUGGAAUUGUGCCUCCUUGCUAAAAUAAAUGGGCUAAUAACAUUGCUAUACCA